rnacentral:rRNA from 1 species
AACCGCAUGGUUCAGACAUAAAAGGUGGCUUCGGCUACCACUUACAGAUGGACCCGCGGCGCAUUAGCUAGUUGGUGAGGUAACGGCUCACCAAGGCGACGAUGCGUAGCCGACCUGAGAGGGUGAUCGGCCACACUGGGACUGAGACACGGCCCAGACUCCUACGGGAGGCAGCAGUAGGGAAUCUUCCGCAAUGGACGAAAGUCUGACGGAGCAACGCCGCGUGAGUGAUGAAGGUUUUCGGAUCGUAAAGCUCUGUUGUUAGGGAAGAACAAGUGCCGUUCAAAUAGGGCGGCACCUUGACGGUACCUAACCAGAAAGCCACGGCUAACUACGUGCCAGCAGCCGCGGUAAUACGUAGGUGGCAAGCGUUGUCCGGAAUUAUUGGGCGUAAAGGGCUCGCAGGCGGUUUCUUAAGUCUGAUGUGAAAGCCCCCGGCUCAACCGGGGAGGGUCAUUGGAAACUGGGGAACUUGAGUGCAGAAGAGGAGAGUGGAAUUCCACGUGUAGCGGUGAAAUGCGUAGAGAUGUGGAGGAACACCAGUGGCGAAGGCGACUCUCUGGUCUGUAACUGACGCUGAGGAGCGAAAGCGUGGGGAGCGAACAGGAUUAGAUACCCUGGUAGUCCACGCCGUAAACGAUGAGUGCUAAGU